rnacentral:tRNA from 1 species
CAAAAUGUAGUUUAACAAAAACAUUUCACUUACACCGAAAAAACGUCCACGAAACCAUUUUGA